rnacentral:rRNA from 1 species
CGCGUAGGCGGCUCGGUAAGUCUGGAGUGAAAGUCCUGCUUUUAAGGUGGGAAUUGCUUUGGAUACUGUCGGGCUUGAGUGCAGGAGAGGUUAGUGGAAUUCCCAGUGUAGCGGUGAAAUGCGUAGAUAUCAGGAGGAAUACCGGAGGCGAAGGCGGCCUGCUGGACAAAUACUGACGCUGAGGCGCGAAAGCGUGGGGAGCAAACA